rnacentral:lncRNA from 1 species
UGAUAAAUAGUUUGAAAUUAAUAAGUAUAAAGUGAUUAACAAAACCUAGAGAAGACCCCAACCAAGCGUUUCCCCUCUCCUCCUUCUCACCCAAAACAAACAAAACAACCCUAGGAACCAACAGAAGAAGCAACAGCCGCCGCCGGAGCUCCUCUACCUCUUAAUAGCCGACGCUGCCCUGCCCCUUUCAUUCCCAUAUCUCUCUCCCUCCUCUCAAAAACCAUUCACCAAACGACCACCCUUCACUAACCUAGCCACAGAAGCCACCAUGGUCGCUGCUCCACCCACCACCGAAAAACAACCACCACAACACCCCUCUCAAGCCAGAAGCAGUAGCCGCCCUAGCCGUCCACCCUCUUCCACCAACAACAACUAUCCUACGCCUCCUCCGUCUCUAACGCCGACGACAAUCUUCAGUCCAAAAAUGAGGGAAAUAGGAGCCGAAAACAGUCAGAUAAAAAAAAGAAAAGAAAAAAACAAAUAGAAGAAAAGAGGAAACGAAAACAGAAAGAUGAACUAAGGCUUGGUUUUGG